rnacentral:rRNA from 1 species
AUGGAGUCCGACUCCUCUUUUUUUCUCCGCACGCAACCUCUCCUUUCCUCUUCUCCUAGGGUUGCGCCGCCGCCGCAACCCAUGCCAGCUACUCCGACGCCGUCCACUGGAGAAAGCGUCCUCCCCAAAUCCGCUUCUCCCCCAAACCAUCUCAUCUUCUUAUUCCACCCGGCCGCCAUGAUUGUUGCAGAGGAGGAGGAGGAGGAGGAGGAGGAGGAGGAAGGCGAUGGUAAAAUCUCAGGAGAGAAAAAAACUGGCAAGCAAGCGAGAAGGAUGUCAUGGCAGACAUACAUUGACGAGCCGCUGCUCCGCGACAUCGACGGCCAGCGCCUCACCGCCGCCCCAUCCUCGGCCACGACGACGCUGCCUGGGCACCGUCCGAGUCCUUCCCCGAGGUCAAACCUGAAGAACUUACUGCAGUAA